CUGGCGGCGUGCCUAAUACAUGCAAGUCAAGGAGAACAUUUCCUCCGGGAAAUAAUUAAACUGGCGGACGGGUGAGUAAUGCAUAGGUAACCUGCCUUGGAGACUGGGAUAACUUUGCGAAAGCGGAAUUAAUACUAGAUAAUGCAGCGGAUUCUAUGGAAUAUGUUGUUAAAGCGGGCUUCGGCUCGUACUUCAAGAUGGGCCUAUGUCUGAUUAGCUAGUUGGUAAGGUAAAGGCUUACCAAGGCUAUGAUCGGUAGUUGGUCUGAGAGGAUGAUCAGCCACACUGGGAUUGAGAUACGGCCCAGACUCCUACGGGAGGCAGCAGUAGGGAAUCUUGCGCAAUGGGGGAAACCCUGACGCAGCAACGCCGCGUGAUCGAUGAAGCUUCUAGGAGUGUAAAGAUCUGUCGCGAGGGAAGAAUAGUUUCUAUGCAAAUAGUUUAGAUACAUGACGGUACCUCGCAAG
rnacentral:rRNA from 1 species